GAUCAUAUGAUGAUUUAAAUAACUGCAACAACAUGAUAUCUCGUGAUUACCAGUAUUUAAGUCUCUGAUGAUC
rnacentral:snoRNA from 1 species